AACGAACGCUGGCGGCAGGCUUAACACAUGCAAGUCGAACGCCCCGCAAGGGGAGUGGCAGACGGGUGAGUAACGCGUGGGAACAUACCCUUUCCUGCGGAAUAGCUCCGGGAAACUGGAAUUAAUACCGCAUACGCCCUACGGGGGAAAGAUUUAUCGGGGAAGGAUUGGCCCGCGUUGGAUUAGCUAGUUGGUGGGGUAAAGGCCUACCAAGGCGACGAUCCAUAGCUGGUCUGAGAGGAUGAUCAGCCACAUUGGGACUGAGACACGGCCCAAACUCCUACGGGAGGCAGCAGUGGGGAAUAUUGGACAAUGGGCGCAAGCCUGAUCCAGCCAUGCCGCGUGAGUGAUGAAGGCCUUAGGGUUGUAAAGCUCUUUCACCGAUGAAGAUAAUGACGGUAGUCGGAGAAGAAGCCCCGGCUAACUUCGUGCCAGCCGCCGCGGUAAUAC
rnacentral:rRNA from 1 species